CUGAGCUUGCACUCUGAAUCCUUUUCUCCAUGUUCUCAAUGAAUGGAAGGUUCUGUACUGCCAUUAUACAACAGAGUAAGAAUAGAGUGCAAAACUAAAAAGAAUUAAUUCUUACUAAUAAUGAUUAAUGAAAGUCAAGCAACUACAGAUACGUUUUGCGUGAGAAAUAAAGUGACGAGACCAGGACAAGAAGUAGCCACAAAUAUCUUCAUCCAAAUUAUUAGGUAACUUAUCAAAUAGGGGGAUGUGAUAAUAUUAUUAGCUAGGUGAAGUGUAAACAAGAGGAGAACUGCAGAAAAUGAAACUCUGAAUUUGACCCUCCAACUUUGUUUUGAUCGUCCUCUCAAUAUUAAGAACAAAUAAAAGUACUUUGUGAAAUCAAAUAGACAUGGAUUGGAACCAUCAAAACUAUCACGCAUACUUACAUGUGGAGAUUUUUUGGAGGAAGUACAAAUUAUAUAGACCAGUUUCCUAGAUUGACAACACAUAUGGACCAUAGAAUUAGCAGCACGCCUAACUACCAAACAACGACUCUUUAUUCAAAACAGCUUAUGUAGAAGAUGGCCUACUUUUUCCUCUAUAAACACACAUUAUGCAACGUGUAUGUGACCCACAAACCAAGGAAAACCUCAUCAAACCUAAAUUACAAGGAAUAGUGAUAGUAUUGUAUAGUAAAACACGAAAAACCUUCGCUCUAUACCAGUUGGGAGCAAAGUGUUGUCCUCAGCUCGAGAAAAUAUAAGGCAAGAACUUAUCAAACUUCAGUUACAAAUAUUAAAAAAUUUAAGACAGAUAUUUGAAAUUUCUUUAAGGCAAAAACCUAUUAAAUCGAACGAAACUGGUUUUGUUUGAAAGAAGACUGAAAAUUAUAUUUGAAAAUACCCUUGUCAGACUUGCUUACAAACAUUGAUUAAACAAUUUUAUCAUAAAAGAAUUAACAACUAACCUUGAUAGUGAUGAAACUCGAGGCACAUCUUCGGCCAAAUUACAAAUCCUUGCCCAAUCUGUCCCAAAGUCGUACACCAUUCAUCAUGAGAGCAUGACAACAAAGCAUGCGUUAUAAAUGUACACUCAAUGUAAACUAAGAAAUUUCCUUCUCCUAGGCAUCUUGCACCCCACUUGGAGUUUGGGUUAACAUCUUUCACCCUUCCCUUUGCGACGACUUGGAAAGGACAACCACCAAACAAACUAACCUCCUGAAACAAUAUUAUGGUAGUUUGUUUACAAAACAAUCAUAGUCCAUCAAAAAAAUUAGACUACUUCAAGAGGGAAAAAGAGUAAGCAAUGGAUAAAUCUACAAGCAAAAUAUAAAGUAAAUGGUAUAAUGAUUGUUCACAUAACCGGCAGAAAAGUUCACAAGCAACCAGGAAAAAACUUAGAAGGUCAAAUGAUUGUAAUAACAGUUUAUUCACUACAAUAGGAUGUGUUAUAAAAGAAGUAAACACACUACCACAAUAUUUCUCGAGUUAGCAAUGUCCUAUAAUAGUUAUAAUUUUAAAAGACACAAGACACAUUACAACAAAUUUAUAGAAUUGGAUGAAAUUGACUAUUUACAGAAACAAAAGCAAGUUAUAAAGUCACUGACAUAUGUGCCACUAACAUACAAGCAGUAGUAAAGUCUAUGUCUGUAACUUUGUGUGAUGGUAAGAAUGUAAGAUAGACAAAGGAAUACUAACAACUUUAUUUAUUUCACAAAUAAUCAAAAUCCUAAACAAAGUUUUGAAAAGGAAAGAUGAUAUCUACUGGCAUGUAUCUGGUUGAAUAUGUAAUUAACUUCCACUUGCAUUUGUGAACUUGAACCAACAGGUAUGGGAGGUCUCCCACCUGAUCCUGUUUGAACUGCACGGUUGAGUUGCACUAUUUGAGCUUGAGGCCAUCAAACUUCCCAUCUACUUGUUGUUUCCAUUCAGCAAUCGCCUGUGCCUCUUUUUCAUACCUCUUUAGCAGUGGAGUUAUGGCCUUUAGAGAAGUUUUGCUGACAUCUGCACCCAUCGCUUUCAUGCAACCCCUACUAUCUUUAAGCAGUAAGGUUGGCCAUGAACAACAGUAUAAGACCAAUUGUUGCAGUUAAAGGAUCAAAAGACUCACUUAGGAACAAUUGUAGGCUGUCAAUGCUAAUAUUGACACAUCUGGAAGACGGUUCCUUGGCGACAAAAAAUUCUGGUAACUAGACCUGCACCAUACAGAAAGAUUAUAAAAGAUGAGGCUUAAGCAAAAACACUUUGGGGAAAAAACAAUAAGCUUCAUUGCAGAUAUUGGCGAUUUCGAAGGCUAAAAUGUGUAGAUUAACUUCAACUCAACCUACCAUAAUUUCAUCAAGCACCAACUCUGACCAAAUCACAACUGUGCAUUUAACAACUGUGUUUUGAAUAAAAUUGUGACUAGAAAAAGAGGUAUUUAUGAGGCAAAUGCACAAUAUUUGGAAUUAGGAUCCAUAUUUUAAGAACAUUUGUUGAUCAUUGAACCUAACCAUAUCAAAUCACAUGUAUAAUGACCAUUAAACCUAAUAAUCUCAAUCACAUUUAUAAGUCAAUAAACUACAAUCAGUGAAAUUCGAUCAACAAAAAUUUACAUAAACAAUAGAGAUUGAUAAAACCUUUGAUUUAGAACCCCAAGUCAUAAACAAUCAUAAACAAUUGAGAGAAGAAUGAAGCUGGAAAUCAAUUGAAAAUCAUAAACAAUCGUUCAAUUCGAAAUACCUUAAGGAGAGAAAGUGCGAAGCAAAACUAAAAACUUCAAUUUCUUCUGAAGAGAACUUCGCCUCUCUCUUGAGAUUUGAACUUUGAAGAUAACUUUUUCUCUUGUGAUCGAUGUGGAAGGUUGAUGAGGAAGAAGGGAUUGGAGAUUGGGAGAUCGAUGGUGAAGAAGAGAAUGUAAGAAGAGAUUGGAGAUUGAGAGAUCGAGAGAUCAAUGUUUUUCUUCUCGAUCUCUUGAGAUUGAGAUCGAGAGAU
rnacentral:lncRNA from 1 species